AGCACGUCCUCGGAUGGUGGCGACCGGCGCACGGGUGCGUAACGCGUAUACAAUCUGCCUCUUACUGCGGAAUAGCCCAGAGAAAUUUGGAUUAAUACCACAUAGUAUUAUUGAAUGGCAUCAUUUAAUAAUUAAAGAUUACGGUAAGAGAUGAGUAUGCGUUCUAUUAGCUAGAUGGUAAGGUAACGGCUUACCAUGGCAACGAUAGAUAGGGGCCCCUGAGAGGGGGAUCCCCCACACUGGUACUGAGACACGGACCAGACUCC
rnacentral:rRNA from 2 species